CCUACGGGGGGCAGCAGUGAGGAAUAUUGGUCAAUGGACGGAAGUCUGAACCAGCCAUGCCGCGUGCAGGAAGACGGCUCUAUGAGUUGUAAACUGCUUUUGUACAAGGGUAAACCUGAAUACGUGUAUUCAGCUGAAAGUACUGUACGAAUAAGGAUCGGCUAACUCCGUGCCAGCAGCCGCGGUAAUACGGAGGAUCCAAGCGUUAUCCGGAUUUAUUGGGUUUAAAGGGUGCGUAGGCGGGCAUUUAAGCCGGCGGUCAAAUGUCGGGGCUCAACCCCGGCCUGCCGUCGGAACUGGGUGCC
rnacentral:rRNA from 1 species